rnacentral:rRNA from 2 species
AAAUUGAAGAGUUUGAUCAUGGCUCAGAUUGAACGCUGGCGGCAGGCCUAACACAUGCAAGUCGAACGGUAACAGGAAGCAGCUUGCUGUUUCGCUGACGAGUGGCGGACGGGUGAGUAAUGUCUGGGAAACUGCCUGAUGGAGGGGGAUAACUACUGGAAACGGUGGCUAAUACCGCAUAACGUCGCAAGACCAAAGAGGGGGACCUUCGGGCCUCUUGCCAUCAGAUGUGCCCAGAUGGGAUUAGC